rnacentral:rRNA from 1 species
AUUGAACGCUGGCGGCAUGCCUUACACAUGCAAGUCGAACGGCAGCACGGGAGCAAUCCUGGUGGCGAGUGGCGAACGGGUGAGUAAUACAUCGGAACGUGCCCAGUAGUGGGGGAUAACCCGGCGAAAGCCGGACUAAUACCGCAUACGACCUACGGGUGAAAGCGGGGGAUCGCAAGACCUCGCGCUAUCGGAGCGGCCGAUGUCAGAUUAGCUAGUUGGUGGGGUAAAGGCCUACCAAGGCGACGAUCUGUAGCUGGUCUGAGAGGACGACCAGCCACACUGGGACUGAGACACGGCCCAGACUCCUACGGGAGGCAGCAGUGGGGAAUUUUGGACAAUGGGCGCAAGCCUGAUCCAGCCAUGCCGCGUGCGGGAAGAAGGCCUUCGGGUUGUAAACCGCUUUUGUCAGGGAAGAAACGCUCCGGGCUAAUACCACGGAGUAAGGACGGUACCUGAAGAAUAAGCACCGGCUAACUACGU